UACGUAGGUGGCAAGCGUUGUCCGGAAUUAUUGGGCGUAAAGCGCGCGCAGGCGGUCCUUUAAGUCUGAUGUGAAAGCCCACGGCUCAACCGUGGAAGGUCAUUGGAAACUGGAGGACUUGAGUAUAAGAGAGGAAAGUGGAAUUCCACGUGUAGCGGUGAAAUGCGUAGAGAUGUGGAGGAACACCAGUGGCGAAGGCGACUUUCUGGCUUAUUACUGACGCUGAGGCGCGAAAGCGUGGGGAGCAAACAGG
rnacentral:rRNA from 1 species